rnacentral:misc_RNA from 1 species
GGAGUCGUAACAAGGUCUCCGUUGGUGAACCAGCGGAGGGAUCAUUACCGAGUUUACAACUCCCAAACCCCUAUGUGAACGUUACCAAACUGUUGCCUCGGCGGGAAAUUCAUGCCCCGGGCGCGUCGCAGCCCCGGACCAAGGCGCCCGCCGGAGGACCAACCAAAACUCUUUUGUAUGUCCCUCGCGGACUUUUAUAAUUCUGAACCAUCUCGGCGCCCCUAGCGGGCGUUUCGAAAAUGAAUCAAAACUUUCAACAACGGAUCUCUUGGUUCUG